CCUACGGGAGGCAGCAGUGGGGAAUCUUGCGCAAUGGGCGAAGGCCUGACGCAGCGACGCCGCGUGGGGGAAGAAGGCCUUAGGGUUGUAAACCUCUUUCAGGUGGGACGAAGCCACUCGGGUUAAUAGCCCAGAGGGUGACGGUACCGCCAGAAGAAGCCCCGGCUAACUACGUGCCAGCAGCCGCGGUAAUACGUAGGGGGCAAGCGUUGUCCGGAUUUAUUGGGCGUAAAGAGCGUGUAGGCGGCUAGGUAGGUGGGUUGUGAAAACUGGAGGCUCAACCUUCAGACGUCGACCCAAACCCCCUGGCUAGAGUCCGGAAGAGGAGAGUGGAAUUCCUGGUGUAGCGGUGAAAUGCGCAGAUAUCAGGAAGAACACCCGUGGCGAAGGCGGCUCUCUGGGACGGUACUGACGCUGAGACGCGAAAGCGUGGGGAGCGAACAGGAUUAGAUACCCUGGUAGUCCACGCCGUAAACGAUGGUGCUAGGUGUGGGGGGUGUCGACUCCCCCCGUGCCGAAGCUAACGCAUUAAGCACCCCGCCUGGGGAGUACGGCCGCAAGGCUAAAACUCAAAUGAAUUGACGG
rnacentral:rRNA from 1 species